rnacentral:ncRNA from 2 species
CUCUUAUCCAGAGUGGCGGAGGGACUAGGCCCUUAGAUGCCCGGCAACCAACGAAUUGAACAUCGAUUCGGAAAGGUGCUAAUUCCUACAGAUCUAACGUGAUCUGAAAGAUAAGAG